AGAGUUUGAUCCUGGCUCAGGACGAACGCUGGCGGUAUGCUUAACACAUGCAAGUCGAGCGAGAAUCGUUUUGCUGAAGGCUUCGGUCCGAUGCAGAAUGAGGAAAGCGGCGAACGGGUGAGUAACGCGUGGGCAACCUGGCCUUAAGAAAAGGAUAGCCCCCGGAAACGGGGAGUAAUACUUUAUGAGAAUAGAAAAGGGCAUCCUAUUUCUAUUCAAAGCGCAAGCGCUUAAGGAUGGGCCCGCGUAUCAUUAGCUAGUUGGUGAGAUAACAGCCCACCAAGGCAACGAUGAUUAGCCGGUCUGAGAGGGCGAACGGCCACAUUGGAACUGAGAGACGGUCCAAACUCCUACGGGAGGCAGCAGUGGGGAAUAUUGCGCAAUGGAGAAGAACUCUGACGCAGCAAUACCGCGUGAGCGAAGAAGGUCUUCGGAUCGUAAAGCUCUGUUAUCAGGGAAGAAGAAAAUGACGGUACCUGAUGAGCAAGUCCCGGCUAACUACGUGCCAGCAGCCGCGGUAAUACGUAGGGGACAAGCGUUGUCCGGAAUCACUGGGCGUAAAGGGCGCGCAGGCGGUGAUUUAAGCAGGAUGUGAAAGGCUACGGCUCAACCGUAGACAUGCACCCUGAACUGGGUCACUUGAGUAUUGGAGAGGCAGGCAGAAUUCCUGGUGUAGCGGUGAAAUGCGUAGAUAUCAGGAGGAAUACCGGAGGCGAAGGCGGCCUGCUGGACAAAUACUGACGCUGAGGCGCGAAAGCGUGGGGAGCAAACAGGAUUAGAUACCCUGGUAGUCCACGCCGUAAACGAUGAGUGCUAGGUGUUGGGGAGACUCAGUGCCGCAGCUAACGCAAUAAG
rnacentral:rRNA from 1 species